rnacentral:lncRNA from 1 species
AUCUGGAAGGCAAGAGGAAUGUCUCAGGAAGACACUCAGUGAAGGCGAGAAGGUGUCUCCUUCAAGUGUAAAUCAAUUAUUUCACAGAGUCAAACCUGUGGUUAAUAAAGCCCACAUUUUUUAAUCAACCUUGAUGCUACCAUCAGACCAAGAAAAGACAGUGGUAAAAGAAAUGACUGCUGCCUCAAGAUCUGAGGGCUCCACCUUGGAACUGCCCUCAAAACCAGACUGGACAACUAGGAGAUGGGAGCAGUAACCAAUCACAUCUCUGAGGCCUCAAGCAAGGCACUGUAUAUAAACUGUUGAACAAAAAUGAUCGCUCCCUUCAGGAGAUACGGGUCACACAUCAACAUUUAAGUACAAAGGGUGACAAAUGGUAAGAGAGUAAGACAAAGGGUGUGAUGGUGGAAAAUACCAAGCAUGCUAUAGGCCUCUCUAACUCUCAGGUUAUAAACAAACCCUCUUGGUUAAUUUUGGGUUUUUUUUUUCCUAUACAUAAUUCUCUGGUUCAUCUGAAAUUUAUUUUCUGUAAAAAGUGAGGUAUGAAUCCAGUUUUAUAUUUCCCUGCUCAUUUCCAAAAAGGCAGUCCACUGGUCCUAAAACCACUCACGUAAUAAUUUACUUUCCCUGCUGAAAUGAAGUACAAAACUGUGUCCUUUGAGUGUAGAUU